GAUGAACGCUGGCGGCAUGCCUAACACAUGCAAGUCGGACGGGCAGUGGUGUUUCUUGUGGCUGACGGGUGAGUAACGCGUAAGAACCUGCCCUUGGGAGGGGAACCAUAACUGGAAACGGUUGCUAAUACCCCGUAGGCCUAGGAGCAAAAGGAGGAAUCUACCCGAGGGGGGGCUCGCGUCUGAUUAGCUAGUUGUCGCUUCAAUAGCUGACCAAGGCGAUGUUCAGUAGUUGGUCCGAGAGGAUGAUCAGCCACACUGGGACGGAGCCAAGGAGCAGACUACUACGGGAGACAGGAGUAGGGAAUAUGCCGCAAUGGGGGAAAGGCUAACAAAGCAAUGCCGCGGGGAGGUAGAAGGCCCACGGGUCGUGAACUUCUUUUCCAGGAGAAGAAGCAAUGACGGUAUCUGAGGAAUAAGCAUCGGCUAACUCUGUG
rnacentral:rRNA from 1 species